rnacentral:lncRNA from 1 species
UGCCUCUUGGGUUCAAGCGAUUUUCUUGCCUCAGCCUUCCCAGUAGCUGGGAUUACAGGCAUAACUGAAGGUGAAAGGACAGAAUCACCGUGUGUUACUGGCACAGGUGCAUCGGCUAGUGAAGAAAGAAGACAUUCAAACUGUAAGUUGCAUUCACGUGGGAAGCACAAAGAAUUAAAUUCAAAACAAUGAAACAUUAGAGAAAAGCAUGGAGUUAAAACACAACAGAAUCAGAUGUUUACUAUUUCUCAUUUUAACACUAGUGCUUUGCGGGCUUCUAAUAAAGUUGUACU